GUCCCUUCCAAACCAAACCAUUCUGUGAUUCUGUGAAAGCUGUAAUGGGCUUGAAAGAACACAAGAUAUUAUGAUCUCCAAGUCAGAGCUGUUCUUUCUUCUUUACUUAUGAGAAGCCAAGAUUGUCACCCUGAACAGUGUGCUUGGCUCUGCCUCCAUUAAAAGAGUGCAGAAGUGCCAAAGGGAAAAAGCUGCUUUUGAGAACACAAAUCCUGCUGGUCAGCAGUCACAGGACAAACCUUUUCUGUGAAACACAAGUGAGGCCACAAUUCACUGGUUGCUGUUCAAACAUGGUCAUUUUCGUGCACCUGACUUGAAAGUCCCCUCCUGAGGGCAGAUCCAUUGUUGGGGAGUUUAAACAGAUUGAGAUAUGCCCCAUUCUUAUAUUCCA